rnacentral:rRNA from 1 species
UGAAGUCAUUGAUGCCAUGCUUCCAGGAAAAGCCUCUAAGCUUCAGAUUGUAAGGAAUCGUACCCCAAACCGACACAGGUGGUCGGGUAGAGAAUACCAAGGCGCUUGAGAGAACUCGGGUGAAGGAACUAGGCAAAAUGGUACCGUAACUUCGGGAGAAGGUACGCUCUCGACGGUGAAGUCCCUCGCGGAUGGAGCUAUUGAGAGUCGCAGAUACCAGGUGGCUGCAACUGUUUAUUAAAAACACAGCACUGUGCAAAAUCGUAAGAUGACGUAUACGGUGUGACGCCUGCCCGGUGCCGGAAGGUUAAUUGAUGGGGUUAGACUUCGGUCGAAGCUCUUGAUCGAAGCCCCGGUAAACGGCGGCCGUAACUAUAACGGUCCUAAGGUAGCGAAAUUCCUUGUCGGGUAAGUUCCGACCUGCACGAAUGGCGUAAUGAUGGCCACGCUGUCUCCACCCGAGACUCAGUGAAAUUGAAAUCGCUGUGAAGAUGCAGUGUACCCGCGGCUAGACGGAAAGACCCCGUGAACCUUUACUACAGCUUGGCACUGAACAUUGACCCUACAUGUGUAGGAUAGGUGGGAGGCUUUGAAGCACGUACGCCAGUAUGUGUGGAGCCGUCCUUGAAAUACCACCCUUGUAGUGUUGAUGUUCUAACGUCGACCCCUAAUCGGGGUUGCGGACAGUGCCUGGUGGGUAGUUUGACUGGGGCGGUCUCCUCCCAAAGAGUAACGGAGGAGCACGAAGGUGGGCUAAUCACGGUUGGACAUCGUGAGGUUAGUGCAAUGGCAUAAGCCCGCUUGACUGCGAGAAUGACAAUUCGAGCAGGUGCGAAAGCAGGUCAUAGUGAUCCGGUGGUUCUGAAUGGAAGGGCCAUCGCUCAACGGAUAAAAGGUACUCCGGGGAUAACAGGCUGAUACCGCCCAAGAGUUCAUAUCGACGGCGGUGUUUGGCACCUCGAUGUCGGCUCAUCACAUCCUGGGGCUGAAGUCGGUCCCAAGGGUAUGGCUGUUCGCCAUUUAAAGUGGUACGCGAGCUGGGUUUAGAACGUCGUGAGACAGUUCGGUCCCUAUCUGCCGUGGGCGUUGGAAGAUUGAAGGGGGCUGCUCCUAGUACGAGAGGACCGGAGUGGACGAACCUCUGGUGUUCGGGUUGUGUCGCCAGACGCAUUGCCCGGUAGCUAAGUUCGGAAUCGAUAACCGCUGAAAGCAUCUAAGCGGGAAGCGAGCCCUGAGAUGAGUCUUCCCUGAUACUUUAAGUAUCCUAAAGGGUUGUCGGAGACUACGACGUUGAUAGGUCAGGUGUGUAAGUGCUGUGAGGCAUUGAGCUAACUGAUACUAAUUGCCCGUGAGGCUUAACCAUACAACACCCAAGGGGUUU